rnacentral:rRNA from 1 species
AAUACCAUUAAUUUUCAUGAACCCCUAAUCUAUAAUGAAUGACUCCAUAUUUAUAUGGAAGACACCAUGCUAGGAUUAGUAACAAGAAUUUAUAAUUCUCCAAAAUGCAAAUAUAAACCAACAUGGAUGGACCAUUGGUAGUUACCGAACCUAAAUUCAAUGCAACAACACCUACAAGAAAACUCUGCAGUACUUACUCGUUAACCUAACACCAGCGCAUUACAGGAAAGAUUUAAAAAAAGAGAAGGAAUUCGGCAAAUGACGGCCCCGCCUGUUUACCAAAAACAUCGCCUCUUGACUUAUAAUAAGAGGUCCAGCCUGCCCAGUGAAUUUUAAACGGCCGCGGUAUCCUAACCGCGCGAAGGUAGCAUAAUCACUUGUUCUUUAAAUGGGGACUCGUAUCAACGGCAUCACGAGGGUUUUACUGUCUCCUCUUUUUGAUCAGUGAAAUUGAUCUUCCCGUGAAGAAGCGGGAAUAAAUUUAUAAGACGAGAAGACCCCAUGGAGCUUUAAACCAAAUAACAACUUAACCACUUAUCCCAUAAUAAAUUUAAGCCCUGUUAUAAGGUUUUUGGUUGGGGUGACCGCGGAGUAAAACACAUCCUCCACGACGAAAAAAACAGAAUCUUUAUUUAAGAACCACACUUCUAGAAAUUAGUAUACUAACGUUUACUGACCCGACAAUCGAUCAACGGACCAAGUUACCCUGGGGAUAACAGCGCAAUCUACUUCAAGAGCUCAUAUCGACAAGUAGGCUUACGACCUCGAUGUUGGAUCAGGGUAUCCCGGUGGUGCAGCCGCUACCGAAGGUUCGUUUGUUCAACGAUUAAAACCCUACGUGAUCUGAU